rnacentral:rRNA from 1 species
GACGAACGCUGGCGGCGUGCUUAACACAUGCAAGUCGAACGGAAAGGCCCUGCUUUUGUGGGGUGCUCGAGUGGCGAACGGGUGAGUAACACGUGAGUAACCUGCCCUUGACUUUGGGAUAACUUCAGGAAACUGGGGCUAAUACCGGAUAGGAGCUCCUGCUGCAUGGUGGGGGUUGGAAAGUUUCGGCGGUUGGGGAUGGGCUCGCGGCUUAUCAGCUUGUUGGUGGGGUAGUGGCUUACCAAGGCUUUGACGGGUAGCCGGCCUGAGAGGGUGACCGGCCACAUUGGGACUGAGAUACGGCCCAGACUCCUACGGGAGGCAGCAGUGGGGAAUAUUGCACAAUGGGCGGAAGCUUGAUGCAGCAACGCCGCGUGCGGGAUGACGGCCUUCGGGUUGUAAACCGCUUUCGCCUGUGACGAAGCGUGAGUGACGGUAAUGGGUAAAGAAGCACCGGCUAACUACGUG